CUAUAAUGCUGUAUUAACAAGCCCCCCAAAGACCAUAGUCACCUUCUACGUCUUCAGAAAGUAAAGCUGUACAGAUUUCCCUAUUUUUUAAAACCCUCUUAACAUUUCUGGGUUCCUUCUUUGUCAAGGGGGGGACAAAAUGUCCAGGCUUUGCAAACAUUAGAUGUGUUUCUCUACAUCAAGUCAUCAGGUUCAUAGGCUGUCGGAUUUCCCCCCCCCCCUUUACACUUUUCUUUUAUCUCUGUGUGUUUAGAAGAACAAGAGAAAAAAAAAGUCCCUUAAACCACAUCUGGAUUCAUCUCAUUUUGAAUUAUUUCUGUUUUAUUUGCCUAAUGGGAUGUCAAAUAGCUGCUGAAGAACUAAUUGUUCCACUGUCUGAUGUCUACCAUUAAAGGGAGGGAAAGGAUGAAAAAUGCAAUGGGAACCCUCGCCUAUCUGAACGAGUUUUCCUUUGUGUAUGGAGUGGACCCAAACCUACGCAGAUCUGUUUUAUUGGCAUGGGAACGUGAGAUUAAAAGAGAAACUUGACUGUCUAUUGGGGGGAGAAAACCUCCAUUGAACACAAUGAAGUUAGUUGCUUUGCAGGAGGCAAACAGACAUUUGAUUAGAAAGUUACGCAAAAUGUGUAUCAGAGUAAAACCAGGAACAUCUGGGAUGAUUUGCACAGCAUGCGGAAUCUGGGCUAUGAAGUAUGAAUUCCUGAUAAUUAAAUGAGUGAGUAAAAUCGCUGAAAACGUUUUCUUUACUUCUUUUUAAUGAUGAUAGUUGCGAAAAUGUUCCUCCCGAAGUAUGUUUAAAGACUGUUUCCCCAACACAUGGUGAUGUAGCAUUUCUAUGAAACGCAGCUCUAUUUAGCAUGCUUGUGGCUAAGGCUAACUCGUCCUACCUUUUGGCUGUAGUCAUUUUUAUUUUUAUUGUGAAAGAAAAAAAUAAAAUUCACUAAUUGAAACUCGCCUCUUGCUAAUUGCU